GGUUAAGCGACUAAGCGUACACGGUGGAUGCCCUGGCAGUCAGAGGCGAUGAAGGGCGUGCUAAUCUGCGAUAAGCGCCGGUAAGGUGAUAUGAACCGUUAUAACCGGCGAUACCCGAAUGGGGAAACCCAGUGUGACUCGUCACACUAUCAUUAACUGAAUCCAUAGGUUAAUGAGGCGAACCGGGGGAACUGAAACAUCUAAGUACCCCGAGGAAAAGAAAUCAACCGAGAUUCCCCCAGUAGCGGCGAGCGAACGGGGAGGAGCCCAGAGCCUGAAUCAGCAUGUGUGUUAGUGGAAGCGUCUGGAAAGGCGCGCGAUACAGGGUGACAGCCCCGUACACAAAAGCGCAUGUGCUGUGAGCUCGAUGAGUAGGGCGGGACACGUGGUAUCCUGUCUGAAUAUGGGGGGACCAUCCUCCAAGGCUAAAUACUCCUGACUGACCGAUAGUGAACCAGUACCGUGAGGGAAAGGCGAAAAGAACCCCGGCGAGGGGAGUGAAAAAGAACCUGAAACCGUGUACGUACAAGCAGUGGGAGCACAGGUUUACCUGUGUGACUGCGUACCUUUUGUAUAAUGGGUCAGCGACUUAUAUUCUGUAGCAAGGUUAACCGUAUAGGGGAGCCGUAGGGAAACCGAGUCUUAACCGGGCGUUAAGUUGCAGGGUAUAGACCCGAAACCCGGUGAUCUAGCCAUGGGCAGGUUGAAGGUUGGGUAACACUAACUGGAGGACCGAACCGACUAAUGUUGAAAAAUUAGCGGAUGACCUGUGGCUGGGGGUGAAAGGCCAAUCAAACCGGGAGAUAGCUGGUUCUCCCCGAAAGCUAUUUAGGUAGCGCCUCGUGAAUUCAUCUCCGGGGGUAGAGCACUGUUUCGGCUAGGGGGCCAUCCCGGCUUACCAACCCGAUGCAAACUGCGAAUACCGGAGAAUGUUAUCACGGGAGACACACGGCGGGUGCUAACGUCCGUCGUGAAGAGGGAAACAACCCAGACCGCCAGCUAAGGUCCCAAAGUCAUGGUUAAGUGGGAAACGAUGUGGGAAGGCCCAGACAGCCAGGAUGUUGGCUUAGAAGCAGCCAUCAUUUAAAGAAAGCGUAAUAGCUCACUGGUCGAGUCGGCCUGCGCGGAAGAUGUAACGGGGCUAAACCAUGCACCGAAGCUGCGGCAGCGACACUGUGUGUUGUUGGGUAGGGGAGCGUUCUGUAAGCCUGUGAAGGUGGCCUGUGAGGGUUGCUGGAGGUAUCAGAAGUGCGAAUGCUGACAUAAGUAACGAUAAAGCGGGUGAAAAGCCCGCUCGCCGGAAGACCAAGGGUUCCUGUCCAACGUUAAUCGGGGCAGGGUGAGUCGACCCCUAAGGCGAGGCCGAAAGGCGUAGUCGAUGGGAAACGGGUUAAUAUUCCCGUACUUGGUGUUACUGCGAAGGGGGGACGGAGAAGGCUAUGUUGGCCGGGCGACGGUUGUCCCGGUUUAAGCGUGUAGGUGUGUGUUCCAGGUAAAUCCGGUUCACUUUAACACUGAGGCGUGACGACGAGGCACUACGGUGCUGAAGCAACAAAUGCCCUGCUUCCAGGAAAAGCCUCUAAGCAUCAGGUAACAUCAAAUCGUACCCCAAACCGACACAGGUGGUCAGGUAGAGAAUACCAAGGCGCUUGAGAGAACUCGGGUGAAGGAACUAGGCAAAAUGGUGCCGUAACUUCGGGAGAAGGCACGCUGACACGUAGGUGAAGUGAUUUACUCAUGGAGCUGAAGUCAGUCGAAGAUACCAGCUGGCUGCAACUGUUUAUUAAAAACACAGCACUGUGCAAACACGAAAGUGGACGUAUACGGUGUGACGCCUGCCCGGUGCCGGAAGGUUAAUUGAUGGGGUCAGCGCAAGCGAAGCUCCUGAUCGAAGCCCCGGUAAACGGCGGCCGUAACUAUAACGGUCCUAAGGUAGCGAAAUUCCUUGUCGGGUAAGUUCCGACCUGCACGAAUGGCGUAAUGAUGGCCAGGCUGUCUCCACCCGAGACUCAGUGAAAUUGAACUCGCUGUGAAGAUGCAGUGUACCCGCGGCAAGACGGAAAGACCCCGUGAACCUUUACUAUAGCUUGACACUGAACAUUGAGCCUUGAUGUGUAGGAUAGGUGGGAGGCUUUGAAGUGUGGACGCCAGUCUGCAUGGAGCCGACCUUGAAAUACCACCCUUUAAUGUUUGAUGUUCUAACGUGGACCCGUAAUCCGGGUUGCGGACAGUGUCUGGUGGGUAGUUUGACUGGGGCGGUCUCCUCCUAAAGAGUAACGGAGGAGCACGAAGGUUGGCUAAUCCUGGUCGGACAUCAGGAGGUUAGUGCAAUGGCAUAAGCCAGCUUGACUGCGAGCGUGACGGCGCGAGCAGGUGCGAAAGCAGGUCAUAGUGAUCCGGUGGUUCUGAAUGGAAGGGCCAUCGCUCAACGGAUAAAAGGUACUCCGGGGAUAACAGGCUGAUACCGCCCAAGAGUUCAUAUCGACGGCGGUGUUUGGCACCUCGAUGUCGGCUCAUCACAUCCUGGGGCUGAAGUAGGUCCCAAGGGUAUGGCUGUUCGCCAUUUAAAGUGGUACGCGAGCUGGGUUUAGAACGUCGUGAGACAGUUCGGUCCCUAUCUGCCGUGGGCGCUGGAGAACUGAGGGGGGCUGCUCCUAGUACGAGAGGACCGGAGUGGACGCAUCACUGGUGUUCGGGUUGUCAUGCCAAUGGCACUGCCCGGUAGCUAAAUGCGGAAGAGAUAAGUGCUGAAAGCAUCUAAGCACGAAACUUGCCCCGAGAUGAGUUCUCCCUGAGACUUAGAGUCUCCUGAAGGAACGUUGAAGACGACGACGUUGAUAGGCCGGGUGUGUAAGCGCAGCGAUGCGUUGAGCUAACCGGUACUAAUGAACCGUGAGGCUUAACCUU
rnacentral:rRNA from 2 species